ensembl:rRNA 5S_rRNA 5S ribosomal RNA
GUCUAUGGCCAUACCACCCUGAACAUGCCCGAUCUCGUCUGAUCUCAGAAGCUAAGCAGGGUCGGAAAUUUACUUUGAUGGACAUUGAUGGAAUUUUAUUAACUUUUCUGACA